CAUGGUUAUAACGGGUAACGGGGAAUUAGGGUUCGAUUCCGGAGAGGGGGCCUGAGAGAUGGCCACCACUUCCAAGGAAGGCAGCAGGCGCGCAAAUUACCCAAUCCCAAUUCGGGGAGGUAGUGACAAGAAAUACCAGUACAGGGCCCAAUGGGUACUGUGAUUGGAAUGAAUACAAUUUAAAAACCUUAAUGAGGAACGAUUGGAGGGCAAGUCUGGUGCCAGCAGCCGCGGUAAUUCCAGCUCCAAUAGUGUAUAUUAAAGUUGCUGCAGUUAAAAAGCUCGUAGUUGGAUUUCGGAUAAUAAAAAUUUAAUAUCCAUCCUUAAAAUGUGAUUUAAUUUUUAUUUCCUUCCUUUUGAAUACACUCCCUAAACUUUUUUAGGGAAUCAAGUGUUUCAAAUCGUUUACUGUGAAGAAAUUAGAGUGUUCAAAGCAGGCGUAACCUAGCCUUUGAAUAUAUUAGCAUGGGAUAAUGAAAUAGGACUUUAGUCCUACUUUCGUUGGUUUCUAGGGCUGAAGUAAUGAUUAAUAGGGAUAGUUGGGGUCACUAGUAUUUAAUUGUCAGAGGUGAAAUUCUAAGAUUUAUUAAAGACUAACUACUGCGAAAGCAUUUGACAAGGAUGUUUUCAUUAAUCAAGAACGAAAGUUGGGGGAUCGAAGAUGAUCAGAUACCGUCGUAGUCUCAACCAUAAACUAUGCCGACCAAGGAUCCGGGGUUGUUAAUAUGGAUGACUCUCCGGGCACUUAUAGAGAAAUCAUAAGUAUUUGGGCUCCGGGGGGAGUAUGGUCGCAAGGCUGAAACUUAAAGGAAUUGACGGAAGGGCACCACAAGGAGUGGAACCUGCGGUUUAAUUGACCCAACACGGGGAAACUUACCAGGUCCAGACACAGUGAGGAUUGACAGAUUGAGAGUUCUUUCUUGAUUCUGUGAGUGGUGGUGCAUGGCCGUUUCUAGUUGGUGGAGUGAUUUGUCUGGUUAAUUCCGUUAACGAACGAGACCUUAACCUAUUAAAUAGUUGUUUGAACUUGAUUUUUUAAAUCAAAUGUUCAAUUAACUUCUUAGAGGGACUCUUCACUGAGAGAGUGAAUGGAAGUUUGAGGCAAAAACAGGUCUGUGAUGCCCUUAGAUGUUCUGGGCCACACGCGCGUUACACUGACAUAUUCAACGAGCAUUAUCCUUGCCCGUCGGGGUUGGGUAAUCUUUUAAAUGUAUGUCGUGCUGGGGAUAGAUCAUUGUAAUUAUUGGUCUUGAACGAGGAAUUCCUAGUAAGUGCGAGUCAUCAACUCGCGCUGAUUACGUCC
rnacentral:rRNA from 1 species